CCAACGGCACCAGCAGCUAGGGAGCACAUGUUCAGAUACAGGAGCUUAUGGGGCAUUUCUCAUUCAAAUGGGGCUGUCUCCACAUUUGGCUCUGGCUCCUAAUGACAUGAAUAGGAAGUAAUUACCACGUUUCUAGAGAACAAGCUGUUUGGGUAAUGGCCUUAGAUGGACAGAGCCAGCAUCCUCACAGGAAUGGCGCUAAUGGGGGAGAUGCUCCAGGUAGGCAUACGUGAGCACAGGCGCCUGCAGACACUGAAGACCUUGGAGCCUCUGGAGGUGGAGCUCAGAAGGCUGCGAGUUGCCGGACUUGGGAGCUGGGAACUGAAUCUGGGUCCUCUGGAAGAGCAACGAGUCCUCUUCAGCACUGAGCUAUCUCUCCAGCCGCCAGAAUACAUUUUAAGUCGUGGAUGGUCCUAAGUAACUCGAUGAAGUACUGAGCUCACUGUUGAGUAAUUAUACAGCUCUGUGUGUUUUAAAGCAUGCACAUGUCCUGUGCUGCCUGAUGAUAUCAUCAGAGGCAAAUGAUACGUACUCUAUAAAUACUGUGAUAUUAAACGGCUAUAUGUUAUAAAGCUA
rnacentral:sRNA from 1 species